AAUCAACGCUGGCGGCGUGCCUAACACAUGCAAGUCGAACGCGAAAGUCCCGCAAGGGAUUAGUAGAGUGGCAAACGGGUGAGUAACACGUGGGUGACCUGCCUUCGAGUGGGGGAUAACGUCCCGAAAGGGACGCUAAUACCGCAUAACAUCCUGCCUUUUAAGAGGUGGAGAUCAAAGCUGGGGACCGUAAGGCCUGGCGCUGGAAGAGGGGCCCGCGUCUGAUUAGCUAGUUGGUAGGGAAUGGCCUACCAAGGCGACGAUCGGUAGCUGGUUUGAGAGAACGAUCAGCCACACUGGAACUGAGACACGGUCCAGACUCCUACGGGAGGCAGCAGUGGGGAAUAUUGGACAAUGGCGCAAGCCUGAUCCAGCAAUUCCGCGUGGGUGAAGAAGGCC
rnacentral:rRNA from 1 species